rnacentral:rRNA from 1 species
AUUGAACGCUGGCGGCAGGCCUAACACAUGCAAGUCGAACGAGUGGCGGACGGGUGUAUCAUGUCUGGGAAACUGCGUGAUGGAGGGGGAUAACUACUGGAAACGGUAGCUAAUACCGCAUACCAUCAGAUGUGCCCGGAUUGGAUUAGCGUGGUGGUGGGGUAACGGCGCACCAAGGCGACGAUCCCUAGCUGGUCUGCGAGGAUGACCAGCCACAGUGGAACUGAGACACGGUCCAGACUCCUACGGGAGGCAGCAGUGGGGAAUAUUGGGCAAUGGGCGCAAGCCUGAUGCAGCCAUGCCGCGUGUAUGAAGAAGGCCUUCGGGUUGGAAAGUACUUUCAGCGGGGAGGCGUUACCUGCAGAAGAAGCACCGGCUAACUCCGUGCCAGCCGCCGCGGUAAUAC